AGCGAACGCUGGCGGCAGGCUUAACACAUGCAAGUCGAACGGGCAUAGCAAUAUGUCAGUGGCAGACGGGUGAGUAACGCGUGGGAACAUACCUCUUGGUUCGGAACAACACAGGGAAACUUGUGCUAAUACCGGAUAAGCCCUUACGGGGAAAGAUUUAUCGCCGAGAGAUUGGCCCGCGUCUGAUUAGCUAGUUGGUGUGGUAAAAGCACACCAAGGCGACGAUCAGUAGCUGGUCUGAGAGGAUGAUCAGCCACAUUGGGACUGAGACACGGCCCAAAACUCCUACGGGAGGCAGCAGUGGGGAAUAUUGGACAAUGGGCGCAAGCCUGAUCCAGCCAUGCCGCGUGAGUGAUGAAGGCCCUAGGGUUGUAAAGCUCUUUUGNGCGGGAAGAUAAUGACGUACCGCAAGAAUAAGCCCCGGCUAACUUCGUGCCAGCCGCCGCAGU
rnacentral:rRNA from 1 species